CAUAUAUAACCAUUUUGCAAAAUUAUCUGAAAAGUGGUUCUUGGUUGUAGGGAUAUAUAAGUCCCUUCCUACCCUCUCAAAUACAUUUUAAUGGAAUAGCCCCGACUGAAAAACAGUAUUGUUUGACUGUAUUUGAUUUUUAUUGUUUGUCUUACAUCCAAAAGGCAAAUCAAAUUAAACAUAUCCAGGAAUUCAUGGGGUCAAGAUAUCUUAUUUGAAAUUGCCAUUAGUCAACAGAAACAAAUCCAUUAAAUCAACAUACAUAUACAAGAAGUAGCCUGGAUAUAGUUUGCAUAUAAGAUUCUUAAAGAAUAUCAAAAAUUUGCAGUCAUAACAAAAGAUCUAACAGAUACAGGAUUACUUUUAGUACGUAGAUUUGAUGUUUAAAACUUAUUCUUGUUUGGUGGAGGCAACAAUAAUUCUAAUAAGG
rnacentral:lncRNA from 1 species